UCUCACCUUACAUCUGCCUGGCUUAGGAAGAGCACAACCAGCCAAAGGACAGGCCGCAGAUGUUUUCUCAGAGGGUGAACGAAGACGUGCAUGCCCAAGAGGACAGAGAAGAGGUAUGAGAGAGACGCAUGAGCAGCUGAGAGAGGCCCACAGCACACACACAGGAGGCAUGCACUCUGGUGACAGCAAACACAGUUCCAGUCACCACACAAGCACAGCAGCAGCCAACGCUUUCCUCCCAACUUAGGACUUCAGUGAGAAAGGGGAGUUUGACUGCCGGGAGCAGACAUUCCGGAAAGCUGCGGGGAGGGAAGUCCAGCAAGCUUACGUACACGAGACAGUCGGUGCUAGCCAGUUGGCCUCCUGAUAACUCAGUGACACAGAGGGAACCCCAUCCAAGUUGACUUUCCAUCAUCUAUUUUUGAAUCCUUUUAACACUUUAUGAGAAAGAGAGAGAACAACAGAACAGGCAGGCAGGCUGUGUUUAACCCCACGAAACUGCAGUAGAGCCUGAAAGCUUGGGAGUAAAUACAACUUUUUGGCACCUUGUUAUAAAACAUGAACACCCCAUAUCUCAUCAUAUCAUUAUUAGUCUAUGGAUUCCACGCUCCGGCAUACUUACACAUUUACGGAAAAGAGAGAGAAGGAAACAGAGAGAGGACUGUGCUGAGAUGUUUAGAGAGAAGAACUCGGGGUUCAAGCCACAGCAAUAUUAACGAGGACAGGAGGGUAGGGCAGCCUGGAGAACAAACAAGCUGCCUGCAUCAGUUUUGAAAGAGACGGUAUAGAAGACACACAGACACUCCUAAUUCCUUGCCUUGGCUGGAUAACUCGGCUGCAAAAGGUAAGGUUCUUUGCUCUUCUGGUUUUCAGGAUCAGAGGUAACCUGGGGGCCUAGCACAGGUGGUCUCACUGCAUCUGGGAACGAAGCCCGAGUCCCCAAGGGAGGACUCUCGCCACGGUUAACGGCAUCUUGGCGGAUGUCAAAGAACAGCUUGGGAGGGUCAGGAGGAAGAGCAGGGGGUGGUUUCCCUGUGCCGGCUGUGGGGGAGACAAGGCUGGGAGCUGGUGCUCGGGUGCCCACAGCCUCCGAGGGAGUGCCUUUGGCCGGGUCACGUGCAACACGAGAGUUUUCUGACGCCGCCGGGCAAAUGUUAUUGGAUAAACAAGGAAAAGAAUUGGAAGAACCAUCCUUAUUUGUGUUCACAGGAGACAGAUGUCUUAAUUGAUUCACCGAGAUUCUGCACUCAAUUCCAUAAGCACAACAAGUUAAAACUCGCCAAGAAGAGAACGCUAACGACUUUGAAUAUACCUGUGCUCUUUUCUCACUGGAAACAAUUUGAUGGAACUUAUUAGGAGGACAGGCAUGAGAUUAAAAGUGCACCGUUUCCCAUUUCUGAUGCACACAGAAAAAGGGACCAGGCAAUGAAGCACUACUGGAUUGGACUGUGCCUGGCUUGCCAAAUUCCAGCCCCAUCCCCACCCAGCACAGAGAAUCAAUCCCAGAGUUGAAUAAUCAGCCUCAGACUCACAGCUUAAGCCAAAGUUCCGGUUACAGGUUCAGGGGUAAAGAGCUAUAGUUCACAUCUCAUUUCCUCCCAGCCCCAACACCGUUCCUCCUUGGGUCUCAAUGCGUCAGAAAAUGAGGGGACUCUCCAAACCCUCACUUCAAUGAGUCAUCUGCCAACCUGUGGCUCAACUGGGAAUCAGACCAUGAGAUGAAGAAAGUUGGUUUUCCUAGAUUUUCUUCACUGGUCCCUAUCUUUAAAGAUAUCUCAGUACCUGAAGAAAACCAGAAUCUUCCCCCAAACUGCACAGGGCACCCAUGACAGUGUCAGUGGAAUGUGGCCCUAUGUGUCAGCCAAAAAUACAAAAUGAAAAGCCCCUCUCCGGUACUCAGCAAGAGCAAAGACUUUCAGAUGAACUCACUUGGUUUCAGUGAACUUAGACUAGAGUUUGGGGCACGUUUACAGACUAAAUGAUGCUCUCCAGAAACAAGACACCUGGACUAGCACGCACCAAAGACAGUGAGGGUAAGCUGAUAAUGGCUGUAGCAAGGUAAGCAAAAGACUAUUUUGAUUUGGGCUCAGAUUUACUUUUACUUGGAGCUCAAGCAUCCCACAUGUGACUUCUUGUCCAAAGAUAGAAAUCAGUUUCAAUGAGUUUUUAACUUAUUUUGGCUGUGGCCAUAUAUGGUGCCAGGGCUGCAUUACAUCAGGCACAAGCCUUCCCAGGGCUCUGACCCUGUAGAGAGGACACUUCCCCAGAGCGAUGACAAUGCAAUGAGAGCCAAAGGUCUUCCUGUCCUGGGGCCUCUUUUAGCCCUAAGAAGGAGGGUCAAGGCACAGUGACUUUACAUGAAAGGAACUACUUUUUGGUUUAUUGUAAAUGUUGUAGGAAUCACACAGGCAGUUUGCAUUCCCGAGCAGAUGUCUACUCAUGGAAUUCCAUUUAUCUUUUGAGAAGGUGGGUCAGUGAAAAAAAAUGAGACUUCUUGAAAAAUCUGGUAUGUUUACAGUUUUAUACAGUUCCAGAAACUGCCAGUCCCCACCCCCACUGGGGACCACCAUGAUGAUGAUGAUGAUGUCAGAGAGAGGGAAGCCCUGGUUCCCUGUUAUCAGGGUGGAAAGAGCAAGGCAGGGGGUCCAGGCUGGCAAGACACAGGAUUCCCAUACAGUCAUGGCUCUCCUCGGCCCCAACUCAGUCCUCAUGAGGAGAUGCUAUGCCUGCAGGGGAUCUGAGAGCUUUCUUCAGCUGAAACCAAGCCUGGGAAGUCACCAGCCUAGCCCACCUUGGCUCUGACUAAGCAAGUGCAUACAUAGAGUUCGGCUGUACAGACAAGAAGUCACAUUUGCAUUCACGAAACAAAUCCGAGAGGUAAUGCAUGACCCAAAGGCUCUUGAAACUUGAAUAGCCAGAAUUUCAAUGACACUGAAUAUGCAGAGUAAACCUCAUAUCAGCAAUUUACCAGGUCCCCUUUAAUAAGCCCUAGUAAAAAGAAAAUUCUUGGACAGUAACAGAUAAAAAAAAAACACACCGUCCAUAGGAGAUGUUACAGGAUGCUAACCCUUAUUAUAUAUAAGGCUCAUCCUUAAAGUCCUUGAGCAACGUUUAACAUGGUGACCUGAACACAAUAGAGAUGCCCAAUAAAGCUGUGUAAAAUAUGAGGGUUCCUCAAAAAGUUCAUGGAAAAAUGGAAUUAAAAGACAACAGAAAUCCUUCCAUGAACUUUCUGAAGUACCCUCAUAAAUAUAUUUAAAGGGAAUUUUUAUUAACUUCACAUGCUUUCAAAAUGAUCUCUUUAGAAGAGCUGCUUAAGAAGGUAAAAUGAAUUACUGAGUUACGCUUUGGGCUAAGUCACUGACAGCGGAAGAAGAUAUGCUUCCACAUUUGCUUUGAAUUAAUUAGCACUGCUUUCUAAUCUGGACAGAGCUGACUGUAUCCAUUCUUAAGAUGGCUGAGCAGGAAGCGAAUCUACUACACGCAGCACAUUUAUACUCUGGGGAAGGCUUCAGAAAUGGGAACACUAUGUUAAGUCAUUUACCGUACAACUGACUUUCCCAAGUCCCUGUGUCUAAUGAGGACUUCAGGAGGCCAGGCACAUUCGCAGCUCCUGACUCCCACCAGUGGCCCUGAAAGCACAUAGCUGUACUUAAGGGUCACAUCAUGACAGGUGGCAGAAAGCCUCAAUGGUGCUGCUCAGCACACAAGGCAAUUAGGUGACCACCUCUAAGCCUGGGAAGACAGGGGUCUGCAGAGAGAAAGGAAGGCAUCAUCUUUGACUCAAGUUCAUUUCAGUGGCCAGUGCAAUUUUAUGUCCUCAGGAGCAGGAGCCAGAGGAUCGUUGGAAACAGGGCAGGAACUCAGAAGGACCUGCAAAAUUUCCAGGCUCCUUGUGAGUUCUGAGAGCCCCUUCACAGAAGGCAGGCACAGGGAAGUGGACAAUACAAGGAACACAUUUCUGCAACAUUUUCUGAGCAGCACAACUUCCUUUAAGAGAAGACUGUACCAUUCUGUGGAUGUGGCUCCUCUGUAAAAAAAAAAAAAAAAAAAAAAAAAACAUUCUUCACAGAUCACCUGAAUUAAAACAAGGUCAUUCCUAUCAUCAGAAUGACAAAGUAGCAACAGAGAGGGGGAAAAAAAGAAAGAUCAAGAAAACCACACAGGGGGAAAGACUUAAGCAAGAUUAUCCCCACUUCAAGUUGUACAGCUUUGGGGGAUUUUCUUUUGGAAGGGAGAACUAGGCUAUUUAAGCUGUGCUGCCAUUUUGACUUCUGUCUGCUCCUGGGCCACUGGAUUUAGGGUCUGGCCACAGCUACCUGAUCUUAAUCUGUAGGGGUAGGUAGUUACUAGAACUCUUAGAGCUCCACAAAAGUAAUGGAACAAACACAGGUGCAUUCUUCUCUCAAAUAUAUACCCUAAAGAGUUUUUUAAAAAGAUGCUUGGGCCUUUUUCCUACUAAUUCAAGGCUAAAUGGAUUCCUCUUUCAGAACAUGUCCACAUAUGUAUCAAACUACAAAACAUCAAGGCCUAUUUCCAAUGCCCUGGCACAGACCAACCUCAACCCAUGCCUCUGCUCCCCUUGGCCUCAACUAACUCUGGUCCCUGCAGAGCUUUUCCAGAGUUGGUCAAAAGCCUGGAAGCUAUUCCAUUAUCCAGUUGGGCAAGCAGGAAGUCACAAGUCUAAGCUAAAAGACUCAAGAACAGGAGGUUUCAAGAUGGCGGCGGCUGCGGCGGCUGGCGCGGAGUAGCUGAGGUGGAAAAGGUGGCCACUGGGCCUCAGGCAGCCGGGAAACUUGUGGACCUUCCUCUGGCCAUCUCUUAAGGGAGGACUGCUGCUGCUGGCCGGUCGUGGGGGCUCAACGCCACUUUGCCCCCGGCAGGAGAGGCUGCCUCAUUUACAGGCAACAGCUUUGAAGUGUGGAGCAGGAAAAGAACUGAUUCUUAGCUGCAAAAGUGAGUCUUGAAACAGGGAACACGGCGCCAGGGCUGCUGUGGAUGCAGCCAGGAUCCCGGAGACCGGGGCCGCGCUGAAGAAGGCGGCCAGCUGCCCUAUUCAGGAUUCGAGGUUUCAGGCCGGCAUUAAAGAAGAUUCCUAGGAGCGCCCGAGCGGCACCGCGACUGAACAGCCCGAGGCGGCAGCGCCGAGAACACGGAAGGCAACAAACCAGAGACAGAGCGAGCGCCCGACCUGGCACAGCACUGUGAGUGAUCCCUGGCACAGCUCUGUUCGGGGGGGUGGAUGCCCACGCGGCUUCCGCCUGCACCACCAGGCCACUCAUUGCCCCGGUGCUGCCUCCAUUUUCCCAGGUGCGGGCAGCUCCGCCCUGCUCGGCCAUCACUGAGCCCAUUUGCUUGGCCUGGCGCGGGGCUUUCCGGGCCCUGCGGGCCGACCUCCUCUCCCACUCCCUCCGCGGUUCUCUGGCAGGGCUGUGGGUGUGGGGCGUCCCGACCAGUUUUGGGAGGGCUAGGAAGUACGGGCGGGCCGACUGUCACUCCACCACACCCUGGACUC